rnacentral:lncRNA from 10 species
ACUAGCAGGAUCUCUGGCGUUGGGAAGAGUCCCUGUUACCCCUUUUUUCCCUUUUUACCGAAUAAAACCCUGCCUUACUCACCCUUCAGGUCAUCUACAAUCCUAACUUUUCAUGGCUCUGAGACAAAGACUCCGUCUUUUGGUGAACUAAGGAAAUGUCCUGCAACAUUUUUGGCACACAGCAUAGGACUUGAGAAGUGGAGGUGAACUUUGAGACUAUCCUUGGACCGCAAUUUAAGCUUGAGACAAAGGAAACUGAUUGUGUUAUCUCUUUGUAACCCAAACACCUGUAAAUCUACUUCACCAAGCUUUGACAGCAUCUGAACACUUAUUGAUCUUAAAAUGGUACAAAAACCUUUACUUGUUUGCCAGUCAACAAAGAAACCACUGACUGAGCACUCUGAAGGAGAGUUAAAGGUUUUAAGAGAAUGAAGAAAAUUUCAAACGUUCACUAAGGAGAACGGGCAAAAGAGUUGACUAAGAAAAUAGAAAAGGAUACCAAGAAAUCAUUGAAGAAGAGAUUAAAGUUAGAGGACAUUAUUUUGUAUUUGUAUAAAUGUGCAUGUUUCCUCAAUUUUUCUCCAGCACAUACAUUACUCUGGGCAUGAGCACAGAAAGCAAGACAAUUGCCAGGAGAAUGUAAUGAAAAAUGAGUUGAAACACUGAAAAAGAUAAAGUACAUCAGUGGAAUAUGAACAGAUUAGGAAAUAAAAUAAAGAAGAUGAGUGGGCUGUGGAAAUAAAAGGAAUCACAAAACUGGAGGCUUAAUGAAGUUAAAGAACAUGUGGACUAGGAAAACCAAGAUGGUUGAAAAGACAGCAGAUUGUGAACACACAAAAAAUUCUGAGCUUAAAUUGUCAGCAGCAGUAAAGCAAUAUCAAGUAAUGAGAAUUCCAGCUGUGAGGCUGUAUGAGUGAUUUGCUGGAGAGGCACAGAAUUAUAGGUCAAUGGAGAUAAAGUCAUCCAUAAACUACAAACAAGGGAGUUGAAGGAGCCAUCCAGGGACAUUUAGAAAUGUGGUUUAGUCAAAUGGCAUGAAACUUUCAGAAAUAAAGGUAUGAAUACAUUAUGUUAAAUGUCAUAAAAACACCACUGUUAUGGUAUGAAACAACUUCACAAUUUCUAAAGGCUUAUUUUUCAUGCUUUAUACUUGAUGACUUGAUAUUAGCUUGUGGUUAAUAAUUUGUAACAAAUAUAACAUGAAUAAAGAUGCAACAUAAGCUAGGUAAGUUCUAUAAACUGAAUAGAACAUGGAAAAUUAGUACACACAGUGCUAUGGGGUGAUGACAAACUGAAAGCAAGUGUAUUGUUUUUGUUUUGUUUUGUAUUGUUUUGUUUUGUUUUGUGACGGAGUCUCUCUCUGUUGCCCAGGCUGGAGUG